GAUGAACGCUAGCGGAAGGCUUAAUACAUGCAAGUCGAGCGGUAGGUGGCUUCGGCCAUUGAGAGCGGCGCACGGGUGAGUAACGCGUACAUGACCUGCCUGUCAGAAGGGGAUAGCCCUGGGAAACUGGGAUUAAUACCCUAUGGUAUUGAUAUUAUGAAUGAUAUCAAUUAAAGUUGAGGCGCUGACAGAUGGAUGUGCGUCUGAUUAGCUAGUUGGUAGGUAACGGCCUACCAAGGCGACGAUCAGUAGGGGCGUGAGAGCGUGGUCCCCCACACGGGUACUGAGACACGGCCCAGACUCCUACGGGAGGCAGCAGUGGGGAAUUUUGGACAAUGGGCGAAAGCCUGAUCCAGCCAUGCCGCGUGAGUGAAGAAGGCC
rnacentral:rRNA from 1 species